rnacentral:rRNA from 1 species
CCUACGGGUGGCAGCAGUGAGGAAUAUUGGUCAAUGGGCUUACGCCUGAACCAGCCAAGUCGCGUGAGGGAAGACUGCCCUAUGGGUUGUAAACCUCUUUUGUCAGGGAGCAACGCCGGCUACGUGUAGCCGGACUGAGAGUACCUGAAGAAAAAGCAUCGGCUAACUCCGUGCCAGCAGCCGCGGUAAUACGGAGGGGGCGAGCGUUGUCCGGAAUGACUGGGCGUAAAGGGAGUGUAGGCGGCAUAUUAAGUUAUGUGUGAAAGCCCGCGGCUCAACCGCGGAAUUGCACAUAAAACUGGUAAGCUGGAGUGCAGGAGAGGUAAGUGGAAUUCCCGGUGUAGCGGUGGAAUGCUUAGAUAUCACGAAGAACUCCGAUUGCGAAGGCAGUUCACUGGACUGCAACUGACACUGAGGCUCGAAAGUGUGGGUAUCAAACAGGAUUAGAUACCCCAGUAGUC